rnacentral:rRNA from 1 species
GACGAACGCUGGCGGCGUGCUUAACACAUGCAAGUCGAACGAGACGAUUGAAAGCUUGCUUUCGAAAGUCGAGUGGCAAACGGGUGAGUAACGCGUAGACAACCUGCCUUUGAGAUGGGGACAACAGUUCGAAAGGACUGCUAAUACCGAAUGUUGUAUAUUUUCCACAUGGAAGAUAUAUUAAAGAUGGCCUCUAUUUAUAAGCUAUCGCUCAAAGAUGGGUCUGCGUCUGAUUAGCUAGUUGGUGGGGUAACGGCCUACCAAGGCGACGAUAGGUAGCCGGUCUGAGAGGAUGAACGGCCACAUUGGGACUGAGACACGGCCCAGACUCCUACGGGAGGCAGCAGUGGGGAAUCUUCCACAAUGGACGAAAGUCUGAUGGAGCAACGCCGCGUGAGUGAAGAAGGGUUUCGGCUCGUAAAGCUCUGUUGUCGGGGACGAAUGUGCAUUACUUGAAUAAAGUAGUGUGAUGACGGUACCUGACGAGGAAGCCACGGCUAACUACGUGCCAGCCGCCGCCGUAA